CCUACGGGCGGCAGCAGUGGGGAAUAUUGCACAAUGGGCGCAAGCCUGAUGCAGCCAUGCCGCGUGUGUGAAGAAGGCCUUCGGGUUGUAAAGCACUUUCAGCGGGGAGGAAGGCGGUGAGGUUAAUAACCUCAUCGAUUGACGUUACCCGCAGAAGAAGCACCGGCUAACUCCGUGCCAGCAGCCGCGGUAAUACGGAGGGUGCAAGCGUUAAUCGGAAUUACUGGGCGUAAAGCGCACGCCGGCGGUCUGUCAAGUCGGAUGUGAAAUCCCCGGGCUCAACCUGGGAACUGCAUUCGAAACUGGCAGGCUAGAGUCUUGUAGAGGGGGGUAGAAUUCCAGGUGUAGCGGUGAAAUGCGUAGAGAUCUGGAGGAAUACCGGUGGCGAAGGCGGCCCCCUGGACAAAGACUGACGCUCAGGUGCGAAAGCGUGGGGAGCAAACAGGAUUAGAUACCCGUGUAGUC
rnacentral:rRNA from 1 species